rnacentral:rRNA from 1 species
GACGAACCGUGCAAACGUUGUUCGGAAUUACUGGGCGUAAAGCGCACGUAGGCGGCUUUGUAAGUUAGAGGUGAAAGCCCAGGGCUUAACCCUGGAAUUGCCUUUAAGACUGCAUCGCUAGAAUCGUGGAGAGGUAAGUGGAAUUCCGAGUGUAGAGGUGAAAUUCGUAGAUAUUCGGAAGAACACCAGUGGCGGAGGCGACUCACUGGACACGUAUUGACGCUGAGGUGCGAAAGCGUGGGGAGCAAACAGG